AGAGUUUGAUCCUGGCUCAGGAUGAACGCUGGCGGCGUGCUUAACACAUGCAAGUCGAACGAAGCGCCUUGGACAGAUUCUUCGGAUGAAGUCUUUGGUGACUGAGUGGCGGACGGGUGAGUAACGCGUGGGUAACCUGCCUCAUACAGGGGGAUAACAGUUAGAAAUGGCUGCUAAUACCGCAUAAGCGCACGGUACUGCAUGGUACAGUGUAAAAAACUCCGGUGGUAUGAGAUGGACCCGCGUUGGAUUAGCUAGUUGGCAGGGUAACGGCCUACCAAGGCGACGAUCCAUAGCCGGCCUGAGAGGGUGGACGGCCACAUUGGGACUGAGACACGGCCCAGGCUCCUACGGGAGGCAGCAGUGGGGAAUAUUGCACAAUGGGGGAAACCCUGAUGCAGCGACGCCGCGUGAGCGAAGAAGUAUUUCGGUAUGUAAAGCUCUAUCAGCAGGGAAGAAAAUGACGGUACCUGACUAAGAAGCCCCGGCUAACUACGUGCCAGCAGCCGCGGUAAUACGUAGGGGGCAAGCGUUAUCCGGAUUUACUGGGUGUAAAGGGAGCGUAGACGGAAUGGCAAGUCUGAUGUGAAAGGCCGGGGCUCAACCCCGGGACUGCAUUGGAAACUGUCAAUCUAGAGUACCGGAGGGGUAAGUGGAAUUCCUAGUGUAGCGGUGAAAUGCGUAGAUAUUAGGAGGAACACCAGUGGCGAAGGCGGCUUACUGGACGGUAACUGACGUUGAGGCUCGAAAGCGUGGGGAGCAAACAGGAUUAGAUACCCUGGUAGUCCACGCCGUAAACGAUGA
rnacentral:rRNA from 1 species